ACGGGAGGCAGCAGUGGGGAAUAUUGCACAAUGGGCGCAAGCCUGAUGCAGCAACGCCGCGUGAGGGAUGACGGCCUUCGGGUUGUAAACCUCUUUUAGUAGGGAAGAAGCGAAAGUGACGGUACCUGCAGAAAAAGCACCGGCUAACUACGUGCCAGCAGCCGCGGUAAUACGUAGGGUGCAAGCGUUGUCCGGAAUUAUUGGGCGUAAAGAGCUCGUAGGCGGCUUGUCGCGUCUGCUGUGAAAUCCCGGGGCUCAACCCCGGGCCUGCAGUGGGUACGGGCAAGCUAGAGUGCGGUAGGGGAGAUUGGAAUUCCUGGUGUAGCGGUGGAAUGCGCAGAUAUCAGGAGGAACACCGAUGGCGAAGGCAGAUCUCUGGGCCGCUACUGACGCUGAGGAGCGAAAGCAUGGGGAGCGAACAGGAUUAGAUACCCUGGUA
rnacentral:rRNA from 1 species